UACGUAUGGUGCAAGCGUUAUCCGGAUUUACUGGGUGUAAAGGGAGCGCAGGCGGCACGGCAAGCCUGAUGUGAAAGCCCGCGGCCCAACCGCGGGACUGCAUUGGGAACUACCGGGCUGGAGUGCCGGAGAGGUAGGCGGAAUUCCUAGUGUAGCGGUGAAAUGCGUAGAUAUUAGGAGGAACACCAGUGGCGAAGGCGGCCUACUGGACGGUGACUGAUGCUGAGGCUCGAAAGCGUGGGGAGCAAACAGG
rnacentral:rRNA from 1 species